CGUCCCAGCUCUUCCUGCUCUGGAGCUCUGGUAUGAGUCAUGCUUCAUACCAGCUCACGGGAACCGACCAUUUUUUCCCCGACUCUGUGCUCAGUGACUUGGCUGUGGCAGCUUAAAAUUGGCCAGGGAGUAUUUACACCAUGAUAACUGGCAAAUGGGUCUGGGGGUGACUCUUACUGGCUCAAUCCUCACCAUCUGUGGCCGCCAACUGGGAAUAUUGUCCAUCCUGAGGAGAGAAGCAAGGGGCUUUCCUGAACCACGCAGAAGCAAUUCUGUGUAGACUUGUCAUUCUCCUGGUACUGCUGCAGAGGUGCUCUGACAACACCAUAUUUUACAUGCUCCAUCUAUUAAUUGACCCUUACUCUUUCAAUAAAUAUUUACUCGGCA